CGGCCCAGACUCCUACGGGAGGCAGCAGUGGGGAAUAUUGGACAAUGGGCGAAAGCCUGAUCCAGCCAUGCCGCGUGUGUGAAGAAGGUCUUCGGAUUGUAAAGCACUUUAAGUUGGGAGGAAGGGCAGUAAAUUAAUACUUUGCUGUUUUGACGUUACCGACAGAAUAAGCACCGGCUAACUCUGUGCCAGCAGCCGCGGUAAUACAGAGGGUGCAAGCGUUAAUCGGAAUUACUGGGCGUAAAGCGUGCGCAGGCGGUUUUGUAAGUCUGUC
rnacentral:rRNA from 15 species